rnacentral:lncRNA from 1 species
UGGGGAUUGGUUCUAUGCAUGGUCAUUUGGACGCAUGUAAGAUUACUUAAAGUUGUUCAUCUUUUCUGCUUCCUGAAACAUAACUAUAGUGCAACAAAUAUUUUUGAACAAUAUAUUUCCAUUGGUUGGACCUUGAUCUCAGUGAGUGCAUCUAAAGAUUUAUGCAUAUACAUGAAGCUGUGUUCAAGGCUUUCUUGCAUAUUCCCAAUUAGUCCAAACCCCAAAUGAUUGCCAAAUUUUGCUACUGUGCUCCUGUGUUUGUGUUUGAGCUGUUGUAUGUUUGUAAAUGUCACACUUAAAGCUGGCCAAGAGACUGUUGAAGAAGCGUGGAUGUGCAUAGGAGAGCACCCCCCCCACCUGCAUGUACUUAGUGCCUCCUCUGUGUCCCAUGGUGAUAGCUUGCUUGCUGAAUGCUGUGACUCAUAGUUUACUGUUCUCUUAACAGCUUGCACUUUUCGUUAAUAAAAUUAACUUG